GAUGAACGCUGGCGGCGUGCCUAAUACAUGCAAGUCGAGCGAACAGACGAGGAGCUUGCUCCUUUGACGUUAGCGGCGGACGGGUGAGUAACACGUGGGUAACCUACCUAUAAGACUGGGAUAACUUCGGGAAACCGGAGCUAAUACCGGAUAAUAUUCCGAACCGCAUGGUUCGAUAGUGAAAGAUGGCUUUGCUAUCACUUAUAGAUGGACCUGCGCCGUAUUAGCUAGUUGGUAAGGUAACGGCUUACCAAGGCAACGAUACGUAGCCGACCUGAGAGGGUGAUCGGCCACACUGGAACUGAGACACGGUCCAGACUCCUACGGGAGGCAGCAGUAGGGAAUCUUCCGCAAUGGGCGAAAGCCUGACGGAGCAACGCCGCGUGAGUGAUGAAGGUCUUCGGAUCGUAAAACUCUGUUAUUAGGGAAGAACAAACGUGUAAGUAACUGUGCACGUCUUGACGGUACCUAAUCAGAAAGCCACGGCUAACUACGUG
rnacentral:rRNA from 1 species